rnacentral:rRNA from 1 species
CACGUAGGGUGCGAGCGUUGUCCGGAAUUAUUGGGCGUAAAGAGCUCGUAGGCGGUGUGUCGCGUCGAUCGUGAAAACUUGGGGCUUAACCCUGAGCUUGCGGUCGAUACGGGCAUCACUUGAGUUCGGCAGGGGAGACUGGAAUUCCUGGUGUAGCGGUGAAAUGCGCAGAUAUCAGGAGGAACACCGGUGGCGAAGGCGGGUCUCUGGGCCGAUACUGACGCUGAGGAGCGAAAGCGUGGGAGCGAACAGG